rnacentral:rRNA from 1 species
AUGCCACAACCUGAUCCAAACAGUGUAGAAAAAUGGAAAUAUGACCCCGACAGAGCACAUUGGGAGUUGAUGAGGAUGAUUGUCGUUCAUGAAUUGCCAUUCUCCAUAGUGGAAUAUGAUGGGUUUAGGCGAUUCGUGCAUAGUCUGAAUCCAACAUUUGAGGUGGUGUCUAGGACGACAAUAACACUUGAUUGCCUCCUUCUAUUUGAUGAACAAAGGGCAAAGCUUCGAGAGGCUAUACAGAACUUAACCUCCCAUGUCUCUUUAACCGCCGACAUGUGGACUUCAAGUAAAGUCAAGAGCUAUAUGUGUAUAACAUGCCAUUUUGUUAGUGAGAACUGGAAAUUGCAGAAAAGAGUGAUUUGGUUUUCC